rnacentral:tRNA from 1 species
GGAAGGGUGGCAGAGUGGUCGAUUGCUCCGGUCUUGAAAACCGGCGAUGCGCAAGCAUCCGUGGGUUCGAAUCCCACCCCUUCCGCCA